rnacentral:pre_miRNA from 1 species
AGUGGUUCUAACCAGUUCAACAGUUCUCUACUGAAAUUGUGAAAUGUUUAGGACCACUUG